UUUAGGAGGGGCUUGCGCCAUAUUAGUUAGUUGGUAGGGUAAUGGCCUACCAAGACGAUGAUGUGUAGCUGGACUGAGAGGUUGAACAGCCACAUUGGGACUGAGACACGGCCCAAACUCCUACGGGAGGCAGCAGUAGGGAAUUUUCGGCAAUGGAGGAAACUCUGACCGAGCAACGCCGCGUGAAUGACGAAGUACUUCGGUAUGUAAAGUUCUUUUAUCAGGGAAGAAAAGCAAAUGGCGAACCAUUUGUUUGCCGGUACUUGAUGAAUAAGCCCCGGCUAAUUAUGUGCCAGCAGCCGCGGUAAGACAUAAGGGGCAAGUGUUAUCCGGAAUUAUUGGGCGUAAAGGGUGCGUAGGCGGUCUAGUAAGUCAGUGGAGUAAUGGCAACGCUUAACGUUGUCCGGCUAUCGAAACUGCUAAACUUGAGUUAGAUAGAGGCGAGUGGAAUUCCAUGUGUAGCGGUAAAAUGCGUAAAUAUAUGGAGGAACACCAGAGGCGUAGGCGGCUCGCUGGGUCUUAACUGACGCUGAGGCACGAAAGCGUGGGGAGCAAACAGGAUUAGAUACCCUGGUAGUCCACGCCGUAAACGAUGAGUACUAAGUGUCGGGUUAAACCGGUACUGAAGUUAACACAUUAAGUACUCCGCCUGAGUAGUACGUACGCAAGUAUGAAACUUAAAGGAAUUGACGGGACUCCCCACAAGCGGUGGAUCAUGUUGUUUAAUUCGAAGAUACCCGAAAAACCUUACCAGGUCCUGACAUGUUUUUGCAAAAUGAUAGUAAUAUCGUGGAGGUUACCAGAAACACAGGUGGUGCAUGGUGUCGUCAGCUCGUGUCGUGAGAUGUUAGGUUAAGUCCUAAAACGAGCGAAACCCUUAUCGUUAGUUGCCAGCACGUUAUGGUGGGGACUUUAACGAGACUGCCAAUGAUAAAUUGGAGGAAGGUGAGGAUCACGUCAAAUCAGCAUGCCCCUUAUGACCUGGGCUACAAACGUGAUACAAUGGCUGUUACAAAGGGUAGCUGAAACGCAAGUUCUUGGCCAAU
rnacentral:rRNA from 1 species